GCUUGCUUCCUUAGAACUGUACAAACAUCAAACAAUACAGAGAUUAGCUUAGCACGACCUCUGUGCAAGGAUGACAUGGAUAUUCACAAAGCAGUCCACAUUAAA